AGUUUGAUCCUGGCUCAGGACGAACGCUGGCGGCGUGCAUAAUACAUGCAAGUAGAACGCUGAGGACUGGUGCUUGCACCGGUUCAAGGAGUUGCGAACGGGUGAGUAACGCGUAGGUAACCUACCUCAUAGCGGGGGAUAACUAUUGGAAACGAUAGCUAAUACCGCAUGACAAUGGAGGACCCAUGUCUUUCAUUUAAAAGGUGCAACUGCAUCACUAUGAGAUGGACCUGCGUUGUAUUAGCUAGUUGGUGAGGUAACGGCUCACCAAGGCGACGAUACAUAGCCGACCUGAGAGGGUGAACGGCCACACUGGGACUGAGACACGGCCCARACUCCUACGGGAGGCAGCAGUAGGGAAUCUUCGGCAAUGGACGGAAGUCUGACCGAGCAACGCCGCGUGAGUGAAGAAGGUUUUCGGAUCGUAAAGCUCUGUUGUUAGAGAAGAAUGAUGGUGGGAGUGGAAAAUCCACCAUGUGACGGUAACUAACCAGAAAGGGACGGCUAACUACGUGCCAGCAGCCGCGGUAAUACGUAGGUCCCGAGCGUUGUCCGGAUUUAUUGGGCGUAAAGCGAGCGCAGGCGGUUCUUUAAGUCUGAAGUUAAAGGCAGUGGCUCAACCACUGUACGCUUUGGAAACUGGAGAACUUGAGUGCAGAAGGGGAGAGUGGAAUUCCAUGUGUAGCGGUGAAAUGCGUAGAUAUAUGGAGGAACACCGGUGGCGAAAGCGGCUCUCUGGUCUGUAACUGACGCUGAGGCUCGAAAGCGUGGGGAGCAAACAGGAUUAGAUACCCUGGUAGUCC
rnacentral:rRNA from 1 species